rnacentral:rRNA from 1 species
AGUGAACGCUGGCGGCGUGCCUAAUACAUGCAAGUCGAACGGAUAUUAAGUAGCUUGCUAUUUAUUCUUAGUGGCGCACGGGUGAGUAAUAUAUAGCUAACUUUCCCAUUACUAAGGGACAACAGUUGGAAACGACUGCUAAUACCUUAUACUCCGUAUCUAUAUAAGUAGAUACGGGAAAGUUUUUCGGUAAUGGAUAGGGCUAUAUCGUAUCAGCUAGUUGGUAAGGUAAUGGCUUACCAAGGCUAUGACGCGUAACUGGUCUGAGAGGAUGAUCAGUCACACUGGAACUGAGACACGGUCCAGACUCCUACGGGAGGGAGCAGUAGGGAAUAUUGCUCAAUGGGGGAAACCCUGAAGCAGCAACGCCGCGUGGAGGAUGACACUUUUCGGAGAGUAAAAUCCUUUUCUUGGGAAAGAAUUAUGACGGUACCAAAGGAAUAAGCACCGGCUAACUCCGUG